rnacentral:lncRNA from 1 species
UUAUUAACAAACAAUGUAAUACUAUGUAGAAACUGAGAUUAGGAACAUACAGGGAGCAGAGAGCUCCAAAGAAAAAGAUGUAUGAUUUUCUUUGGGGAUCCUAAGCAAAGCUGGAUAGAUGAGGUGAUAUGCGCAUCACCCCUGGAAAGAUGAGUAGGGGCUCAUUCAAAGCACAAAGUAACAAAAAGUAUUCUGACUAGGGAGAGGUGAAGAUGCUAAGGAGCCUAAUCCAAUAAUGCAUAUUUUGGCAUUUCUAAGUAAUUUUGUCUGCCUACAGCUCCUAGCAUUAUAGAGAUGGCCUUUAUCAUAAACACCUACAGGCAUUUUGACACUAAAAAUCUGGAACAAGAAGUGAGAGAAAUAGGGUACAAAGCCAAUGAAAAGGAAGAACUCUGUGUUAUUUAGAUUGAGACAUGAGCAUGACAAUAAUAUGCCAUUAUUGACAUACAUAAGGCAACCUUAUGUCUCAACCUAAUAGAAUCAAAUAUUUCCCAUUGAGUUCUUAAUAAUCUGUGUUGGGAGAAAAAUGAUUUAAAAUAGCAAAUAACUUUAAAACGUCUAUAUUUGCUUUUGGAAUACAUUAUAUGCCUUCUUUUGACAGGAUAUAUACCUUCUUAAUGAAGUUUUGUGCUUAGAUUUAUAUUAAAAUUACUUGGGAUUCCCUGAGUAAGCCCUGACAGAAUGAGAAUGUGGCUGCAAAACAGACUGGUGACCAGAAACCCAAGGUCUAAGGUUUUAACCAGGGAUAAGCCACACAUGAAUAAUGGAGAGCUGAAAAAUUAGUAAUUAUAGAUACCAAUUCAGUUUUAGACACAUCCAGUCCUUGAUCAUUCCAUCAUGCUUUGUAUUUUUGCUAUCCUAAG